rnacentral:rRNA from 1 species
GAUGAACGCUGGCGGCGUGCUUAACACAUGCAAGUCGAACGAUGAAGCCCAGCUUGCUGGGUGGAUUAGUGGCGAACGGGUGAGUAACACGUGAGUAACCUGCCCUUGACUCUGGGAUAAGCCUGGGAAACUGGGUCUAAUACUGGAUAUGACUUCUCAUCGCAUGGUGGGGGGUGGAAAGAUUUAUUGGUCUUGGAUGGACUCGCGGCCUAUCAGCUUGUUGGUGAGGUAAUGGCUCACCAAGGCGACGACGGGUAGCCGGCCUGAGAGGGUGACCGGCCACACUGGGACUGAGACACGGCCCAGACUCCUACGGGAGGCAGCAGUGGGGAAUAUUGCACAAUGGGCGCAAGCCUGAUGCAGCGACGCCGCGUGAGGGAUGACGGCCUUCGGGUUGUAAACCUCUUUCAGUAGGGAAGAAGCGAGAGUGACGGUACCUGCAGAAGAAGCGCCGGCUAACUACGUGCCAGCAGCCGCGGUAAUACGUAGGGCGCGAGCGUUAUCCGGAAUUAUUGGGCGUAAAGAGCUCGUAGGCGGUUCGUCGCGUCUGCCGUGAAAGUCCGGGGCUUAACUCCGGAUCUGCGGUGGGUACGGGCAGACUAGAGUGCAGUAGGGGAGACUGGAAUUCCUGGUGUAGCGGUGAAAUGCGCAGAUAUCAGGAGGAACACCGAUGGCGAAGGCAGGUCUCUGGGCUGUAACUGACGCUGAGGAGCGAAAGCAUGGGGAGCGAACA